GAAAUAAAGCUUUGCUUGACCUUCGUUUUGUAUCAGUCUCGUUCCUUUGAUUAGGGAAUUGUCCGGGAACAAACAAUGAGCACUGAGCCAGCAUCAGAAUUUCUGGGAAAAGCCUCUGGAGGCAAGAUCACGGGAUCCUGUCUGUCUGGUUGUGGAGCUCCAGGGACGCCUCUCCAUCUGGCCUGUACCAUCGGCCAUGCCGACAUGGUAGAUUUUCUUGUAGAGAGGAAAUGCAAGCUUGACCUCUAUGAUGGAGACUAUAGGACUCCUCUAAUGAAGGCUGUACAAUACCAGGAAGAGGCAUGUGUAGCUAUUCUUUUAGAACAUGGUGCUAAUCCACAUCUUACGGAUAAGUUUGGCAAUACUGCCCUCCACUAUGCUGUUGCUGGUGAGAACACAUCAAUAGUAGAGAAGCUGAUUUUAUUCCAUGCAAAUAUUGAAGCAAGAAACAAGGUCGAAUUCACACCAUUUUUACUUGCUGUAAUUGAAAACAAUCAUGAAAUGGUGGAAUUGUUAAUUAGAAAAAAAGCAGAUGUACAUGUGGUUGAUAAGUUUAAAAGAACAGCCCUCAUGCUUGCUGCACCUUCGACAUCUCCAGAUGUAGUCAGGCUUCUUCUUCAGCAAGGUGUUAAUACCUCUUCUCGAGAUGAACGUGGAUGGACGGCAGGAGACUAUGCUCUUUUUAGUGGAUUUGAUGGCAAUCACCAAACAAUUGCCAAACAUACAGAAGAAAGACUUAAAAAUUUUUCGCAAAAUAACAACCCAGUGGCAAAUAAGACUUCUGAAGAAGACUCUUUAAGCAGUAUUUCUGUUAAACCUGGUGAUGAUAAUGCUUCAUGGCCUACAUCAGAUGAUGAAGACUUAAGUUUCAAUAUGAAGGUUGAUGAUCUAACAGCAAAACUGGAAACUAUGUCUUCAAGAAACCAGGUUCUUAUUCAGGAGUUAUCAUCUAUGAAAGAAAUACCGACGAAAUGUGAAAUUCUAAAGAAGAAUAAAAAGAAGUUGGGGAACAACAAAAAGUAAACCUCAGAAGUUGUGUAGAAGUCAACAUGGUAGGAUAUAGUAAAAUAGAACAAUAUAAAUGGGAUUUUGAAGAAAGGACAAGAUUGAAUGUAGAAAAAAAAUUAAAAGAAGUCGAUCUAUUUUUAGAGACGCAAGUAGCAUUUCAAGAAAGCAUAGCACAGUUAAGAGAAAAUAAUAAUGCUUCAGGAAGAAGUCAAAUGGAACUCAGAAUUAAAGAGCUGGAAUUUGAAUUAUCCAAAAUGAAAAAUUCUCAAGACGUUACUAAAACAGAAUUGGACAGAUACAAGCACCUCUACCUAGAAGAAGUAACACAUCGAAUGUCAUUGACAAAUGAACUGAACAAGCACAGCAGGAGUUGGAAGAAAAUAUAACUAGAGCAGCAAAAGAAGCUGCUGGUGAAUUUGAAUCAGGCUCAUCUGGUGAGGCCACCUCUUUAGAAUCUACUUUCGAAAGACAUACAAAUUGUGACGACAUAAUGAAAGCAUACAGAGAGUACUCAGAGUUUCUGAAGCAAAAGUAUAGCAUCUGAAAGAUAAAUAGUAAAAAUUUAUUUACUGGAUGUUUACACAACAUUUUAAUUGUUUCCUAUUAAAUGAAUGAUAUGCGAAAAUACUUAUUAAAGGAAAAUAUUUCUGGACCAUGUGUGUAAUGAAAUUUAUAUAAUAUUUUAAGCUAUGUUUCUUAGCAGCUAAUUAACUUUUAAGCAGAUUUUUUAAUGUGGAAAUCAGCAUUAUGGGUUUUAUAUGCUCCAGGCUGCCCCAAUACCAGCUUUCUAAACAGCACCCAACCAACCAAGUUUUCAUGAAUACUUCAGUCAUGUUAAUUGAUAACUUUUUGCUAUUUUCCAAUUUUUAUUACUACAUAUGAACAUAGAUAUUUAGACAUACAUUAUUUUGAUAUAUUGCUGCUAAGUUUAUUGUCAAUGUUUUCACAUAUUCUAAUUUUUAUAGUGCCAUAAAACCUAUGUAUAAUUUUAAUUUUAAAUACUGAUGCUGGGUCGCCUGGGUGGCUCAGUGGGUUGGGCCUCUGCCUUCAGCUGAGAUCAUGGUUUCAUGAUCCUGGGAUUGAACCCCACAUCAGGCGCUCUGCUCAUCAGGGAGUCUGCUUCCAUCUCUCUCUCCAUCUAUCUCUCUGCCUACUUGUGAUCUCUCUCUCUCUGUCAAAUAAAUAAAUAAAAUCUUUUAAAAUAUUAAAAAAAUAGAUAAAUAAAUACUGAUUCAUAGCUCUUCCCUCAUGUUGAAAUAAGAUUUGCCUAAGGCUUUUCACCUUUUCUGUUUAUUUUUUACUUUUAUAGAACAGUCUUAAAAUUAGAAGAAAAAAAAGAACUUUUGCCCCAGAACGAUUUGCAAGACAAUUGUUAAAUUAUGCCUGAUUCCCAUAGCAUUUAUAUCCUACAUAUCAGUACAUUCCGCAUAACUACUGUACCACCUUGACAAUCAGAUAAUUAAUUCUAAUAAAGUUGACCCUUGAAUAAUGCAGGGGUUAAGGUCACUGACCCAUUGCAGUCAGAAAUAUGUGAAUAACUUUUGACUCCCCAAGCACUUGAGUACUAAUAAUCUGCUGUUGACCAGAAAACUUAUGUGCACAAAAACAGUUAUUUAACCUGUGUUUUGUGUUAUAUGUAUUCCAUACUAUAUUUUUACAAUAAAGUAAGCUAUACAAAAGAAAAUGUUAUUAAAAUCAUAAGGAAGAUGAAGCCCCCAAAGUUCAUUUUCGCUUUUGUUUCCUUUGCCUUUGGAGACAUAUCUUGAAAGAAGUUGCUGUGGCUAAUAUUGAAGAGGUUACUGCCUAUGUUCUCCUCUAGGAUUCUGAUGGAUUCCUGUCUCACGUUGAGGUCUUUUAUCCAUUUUGAGUUUAUCUUUGUGUACGGUGUAGGAGAAUGGUCGAGUUUCAUUCUUCUACAUAUAGCUGUCCAGUUUUCCCAGCAUCGUUUAUUGAAGAGACUGUCUUUUUUCCACUGGAUAUUUUUUCAUUCUUUGUCGAAGAUUAUUUGACCAUAUAGUUGAGGGUCCAUAUCUGGGCUCUCUACUCCGUUCCACUGGUCUAUGUGUCUGUUUAUAUGCCAGUACCAUGCUGUCUUGGUGAUCACAGCUUUGUAAUAAAGCUUGAAAUCAGGUAACGUGAUGCCCCCAGUUUUAUUUUUGUUUUUCAACAUUUCCUUAGCGAUUCAUGGUCUCUUCUGAUUCCAUACAAAUUUUUGGAUUAUUUGCCCCAGCUCUUUGAAAAAUACUGGUGGAAUUUUGAUCAGAGUGGCAUUAAAAGUAUAGAUUGCUCUAGGUAGCAUAAACAUUUUAACAAUGUUUAUUCUUCCUAUCCAAGAGCAUGGAAUGGUCUUCCAUCUUUUUAUGUCUUCAGUUUCUUUAAUGAGUGUUUUGUAGUCCCUCGAAUACAGAUCCUUUACCUCUUUGGUUAGGUUUAUUCCCAGGUAUCUUAUGGUUCGUGGUGCUAUAGUAAAUGGAAUCGAUUCUCUAAUUUCCCUUUCUUUAUUUUCAUUGUUAGUGUAUAAGAAAGCCACUGAUUUCUGUACAUUGACUUAGUAUCCUUCAUCAAAAUCAAAAGCUUCUGCACAGCAAAGGAAACAGUCAACAAAACAAAGAGGCAAAACCAUGGAAUGGGAGAACAUAUUUGCAAAUGAAAGUACAGACAAAAGCUUGAUAUCCAGGACCUAUAAAGAACUCCUCAAACUCAACAGACACAAAACAGACAAUCAUAUAAAAAAAAUGGGCAGAAGAUAUGAACAGACCCUUCUCCAAGGAAGACAUACAAAUGGCUAUCAGACACAUGAAAAAAUGUUCAUCAUCACUAGCCAUCAGGGAUAUUAAAAUUAAAACCACAUUGAGAUACCACCAUACACCAGUUAGAAUGGCCAAAAUUAGCAAGACAGGAAAUGACAUGUGUUGGAGGGGAUGUGGAAAAAGGAGAACCCUCUUACACUGUUUGUGGGAAUGCAAGUUGGUGCAGCCACUUUGGAGAACAGUGAGGAGAUUUCUCAAGAAAUUAAAAAUAGAGCUUCUCUAUGACCCUGCAAUUGCACUACUGGGUAUUUACCCCAAAGAUAACAGAUGUAGUGAAAAGAAGGGCCAUCUGUACCCCAAUGUUUAUAGCAGCAAUGGGCACGGUCGCCAAAUAUGGAAAGAACCAAGAUGCUCUUCAACGGACGAAUGGAUAAAGAAGAUGUGGUCUAUAUACACCAUGGAGUAUUAUGCCUCCAUCAGAAAGGAUGAAUACCCAACUUUUGUAGCAACAUGGAUGGGACUGGAAGAGAUUAUGCUCAGUGAAAUAAGUCAAGUAGAGAGAGUCAGUUAUCAUAUGGUUUCACUUAUUUGUGGAGCGUAACAAAUAGCAUGGAGGAGAAGGGGAGAUGGAGAGGAGAAGGGAGUUGAGGGAAAUUGGAAGGGAAGGUGAACCAUGAGAGACUAUGGACUCUGAAAAACAAUUUGAGGGUUUUGAAGGGGUGGGGAACCAGGUGGUGGGUAUUAUAGAGGGCACAGAUUGCAUGGAGCACUGGGUGUGGUGUAAAAACAAUGAAUACUAUUACAUUGAAAAAAAAUUUAAUAAAAAUGUAGGCAGGAAAAAAAUAAAAAUUAAAGUGAUCUUGUAUUUUAUAUUGUAGUUGUAUUAGAUUUUUUCAUUCUUCAUAACACUCAUUAGGAUUUAACUUUGUUUUUUUACUAACUUUUUGUUAAAAAUGAAUUAUUAUAAAGACUGUAAUUCUUUUUCUUUUCAGCUGCUGGUGAAUUUGAAUCAGGCUCAUCUGGUGAGGCCACCUCUUUAGAAUCUACUUUCGAAAGACAUACAAAUUGUGACGACAUAAUGAAAGCAUACAGAGAGUACUCAGAGUUUCUGAAGCAAAAGUAUAGCAUCUGAAAGAUAAAUAGUAAAAAUUUAUUUACUGGAUGUUUACACAACAUUUUAAUUGUUUCCUAUUAAAUGAAUGAUAUGCGAAAAUACUUAUUAAAGGAAAAUAUUUCUGGA